CGCAGCCUCACACCAGAUCGGCACGCGAUACCGCAUUGCAUCAUAGACACAACACGCGCACACAAACGCAAGCGCUGCAGAAAAAAAGAAGUGGGGAAGGCACACCAAGUCGGAGUGAUGCGCACGCGUACAGCGGCUGCAUCGCAAUACCCUUGACACACUCCCAACCCUUCCCCCCCCUUCAAACCUCGUGCAACGUAUCGCAUCAGGCAAGCGUCGACGCUGUACCCAACCAACACGCACUCUCCCCACCGCCAUACACGCAUACAUACUUCCAUAGAAGGUGUUAGGCGGUCAACUUCAUACCAGCCUAAAGCAAGGCAACUCUGCCGGCAUCCUAAUCAGCAGCAAAGACGGCAGCCCCCUCCCUCCACCGCGGCGGCAGCGCCGUCAUCACCUGCGGAAAAUGCCAUCCUUGCAGGAGUACUGGCAGAGCGGCUUCCGCGGGCUGCACAUCGAGGAAUGUAUCAGCAACGUGUUUGCCGACUUCGCCCCCUACGCCAGUGCUGACCAGCAGCGCAUUGUCGUCUCCCGCCAGACGCCGGCUCCUGGCAGACCAGUAGCGUGGAGCAGCGACGCAGCAGCGGUCGCCGCCGUUGUGGGCACCCCUAUCAGCCCGACGUCGCACGUCGCGUCCUCGUCGUCUGUCAUCGUUGAGGAGAACGGGGACUUCACGGUGCAGAUGCGCCACCCGCACGCUGGCUCGCUGGCGUUCUCCACGACGGGCCACAUGCAGAUGGAAGCGGCCGUGCGUGUUGACAUACCGGUACGUUCAUCCACGUCGGGCCGAACUGGCCCCACCACGGGUACAGAAAGGGCCGUGGCUGAGGUGACUGCGCUGUCGGCCUUGUCUCCGACGAGAGAGUCGGUCUACGGAGCCAUCGGACAACGCCGCGCGGAUGGCAGCACUGAUAAGGCUACGAGCGCGGCCGCUAAAACAGCGGCGGCGGCGGUGGUCACGCACCCCGUGGCGAAACCAGCGCCGUCGUACCUGCGUUUCAGCGACUUUACCAGGCCUCUCACGAUGGCUGCAAGCGAGGCCACGGCUGACAGCACCAACACUGCUGGUGCACCAGCACCGUGGGGGCAACUAGAGCUUGACAUGUCUCUCCCGAACUGGUCUGCCAGCCGACAGAGCAUCGGGGCCCGCGCUGGACCUGCUGCGCUGAGAGUGAAUCGUGCCCUGUCUGCCGUGGCCGCUUCGGCCGCCAGGUCACCCACGAACUCCACCUCGCUCUCCGAGGACGACGUGGCCGGCACUGCUGGCGGCGGCGCGGGUCACCGGUAUCAGUACACACUCGACGCCGCCGUUUGCGUGCCGUUUGGCGGCAGCGGCGCUGAUGCAUCGAGAGCGGCGAGGCGGAUGCUUGACGGCAAGCCGGUCGUAGUGCUGCCAACAGCGCCGUGGGCACUGACGUGCGGCAUGCAGCUCCCUCUCGCGCUGGGCGACACCCUCGUCGGCAUCUCACUGCAGAACGACCGUGCGUCGUCCGUGACGACGCCGCUCCCUGGCGUGGAGUGGAUCAUGACGGCUCCUGCUGCAACCCCGUCGGACGCCUCCUCUUUGCCAGUCGAUCCGCUGGUGUCCGCCGCCGACGAGGCGCGCUACGCCGCGUGUGUACCCUCUCUUUUGUAUCCGAGUCACAGUAUCAGCAGCAGCGGCUCUGGCGACGCCGCCUCGCCUUCCAGCGCCGCAGCGACACCGGCGUACGUGGCCAUCCCAUCGAUCACAGUUCGCCUCUUGCUCGUGCAGACGCUGGCCAGCCAUACCCUUGUGCGCCGCGACGCAUCGGAUCUGUCCGCCUCGCAGCUGGACAUGAGCGGGAGUGGAUAUGGCGCCAGCACCAAUGGCUCCCGUAUCGCCUCCUCGUACGACUGGCGUCAGCUUCCCACGUUGUUGGGCGUCAAUGUCGGCUUCGACCGCGAUCGAUUACGCAUGAGCGCCGCAUCGAUCCUGCACAAUGGUGAGAUCGACCUGGAGGCGGCGGCGGUGCUCGACGUGACACCGUGGAUGCCACGAAUGCCAACCUUGCUCAAGCUGGGGUACAACAACGCCGGACGACUAGCAGCGGGCAUCACGUCGCUCUUCUACGAAACGGUGACGGCCACGCUGGGGAUGCACAUGGCACGUGGAGAGCAGGCGAGGUUUGGCAUUGAGGUCAGCUUCUAGAGGCAGACGCGACCACAAACUUGCACCGCUCUCCUGGUGCUUUACUGAUGUCCUUCUUGGCGGAGCACGUCGAAGGAUGCAGCAUGCGUAUACACUGGCUCACAUUGGACGGGAGCGAAGCAGCGGCGUAACUCUUUACUUCUCUCUCCCCCUCCCACGAUGCUAACUUGUUCGUUCUUUUCUUAUUCUCAUCUGUUCACGCGUGCACGCGUUUGUAUGUGCGAGGGCUCAGCAGAAAGCGGUGGGGCAAGAGAAUGCGUUCGUGUGGUUUUCAUCUGCCCAACACUUCCCGCACCAACCGCACUGCAGAUGACGCGCACGUCUGAUGAGCGAUUUCACGCUUUACGCUCUCGGUCUUGACGUUUUGUGUUGUUUCUCCUCCGGUUUUCGGUUUGCACGGCGUGCUGUCCGCUGGCGAUGCCGAAUACACACUGUCCUCCUCUCGCCCUGUACGUGCGUCGGUGUGUGGGUCAUUUCACGGACUCCCGAGGAGCGACGCCACUCGCGCCUUCUCCCUACGCCAGGCACGUCGUGUGUCUGUGCGCCUCUUCACUUGCGCGUGCCUAAGCGGCGGUGGGGGAGGGGGGUUCGGAGCGGCAUCACUGUGUGCUCCGACUGGACUAAGCUGUAAGCUGCCCAGUGGCGCGCGCUGCUGCCGGCGAUGGUCGGUUUUCGUUUCCAGAUUGUGUCUCGGUGUGUAUUCCUUUGCUCGCCGGUCGUCGCAGUCGGUUGUCGUGUCAUCGUCAGCCUCCUCCAUCAUAGAGCAGCCGUGUCGUAUCCAAGCAACUCUCACCCAUGCCCCAAGCAUGCGUGGUCAACGUGAUGCCGUCCCCCGCGCGGGUCUCUUUUCCUCGUGUCUGUGUGGGGUAGCCCAUAACAUGCCAGCGCCGCCGCCGUUUUCCUUCCUCCACGCUCAUCGCCAACAGCUGUCUGUCUCUCGUGUGGGUACACCAGCACAGAGGUGCGAUAGCCUCGCACGUGCCGUCGUGGUUCUUGCGCUGAGAUCGCAGACAGCACUGCCCGUUGAGCAACGUGCGGAAGAGGAGAGGGGCAAGGAAAGUGCGUGGCUUGCGGGCCUGUACGUGCCCGUGUGCAUGCGUGAAAGGAGGGGAGGGGCGGUCUCUCGCUCAGCAGGGUAGUACGUCGUCCUCCGCCAGCGCGAGACAGCGGCACGAACGCUGAGAAACCGAGGCGCGCCCACGCAGGCGCAACGGUGUCGCCACUUGCGCAGCGCAGAAAGAGAAAAAGAGCAUACGCAUCCUGCACCCUGUCUCCCACCCUCCCCCCCCCCGGCACUUUCAGAAGAAGUAUGCGCGGGCCGUGACGCUGGCAAAGGCGCCGGCCUCCGCACUGCUCCGUCCACCCCCUCUUCCCCUCUUUUUCUACGGAUGCACCUUUAGUACUAUCGUUUCUCCUCUCUCUGCCCAUCGGUGCCUUUUGUGCUCUUCUCCGCCCUCCGGGCUGAGUCCACUGGACCUCUCCCCUUCUUGCAAACCCACCGCCUGAUGUGAGCUGCGGCGCGCUGCUGUUUUCUGCUGUCGUCGUUGUGCAUGCAUGCCAAG
rnacentral:misc_RNA from 1 species